rnacentral:rRNA from 1 species
AGAGUUUGAUCCUGGCUCAGGAUGAACGCUAGCGGCAGGCCUAAUACAUGCAAGUCGAACGGAUAUAGAGACUUCGGUUUCUAUAUUAGUGGCGCACGGGUGCGUAACGCGUAUGCAACCUACCUUUUACUGGGGGAUAGCCCGAAGAAAUUCGGAUUAAUACCGCAUACACCUAUUUGAGGGCAUCUGAGGAUAGGGAAAGAUUUAUUGGUAAGAGAUGGGCAUGCGUGCAUUAGCUAGUUGGUAGGGUAACGGCCUACCAAGGCGACGAUGGCUAGGGGUUCUGAGAGGAUCCCCCACACUGGUACUGAGAUACGGACCAGACUCCUACGGGAGGCAGCAGUAGGGAAUAUUGGGCAAUGGGCGCAAGCCUGACCCAGCCAUGCCGCGUGCAGGAUGAAGGCCUUCUGGGUUGUAAACUGCUUUUAUCUAGGAAGAAAACACUCUUGCGAGAGGGAUUGACGGUACUAGGUGAAUAAGCACCGGCUACUCCGUGCCAGCAGCCGCGGUAAUACGGAGGGUGCAAGCGUUGUCCGGAUUUAUUGGGUUUAAAGGGUGCGUAGGCGGCUUAGUAAGUCCGUGGUGAAAGCCAACAGCUCAACUGUUGAACUGCCAUGGAUACUGUUAGGCUUGAGUACAGACGAGGUAGGCGGAAUGGAUGCUGUAGCGGUGAAAUGCAUAGAUAGCAUCCAGAACUCCGAUUGCGAAGGCAGCUUACUAGGCUGUAACUGACGCUGAGGCACGAAAGCGUGGGGAGCGAACAGGAUUAGAUACCCUAGUAGUCC